rnacentral:rRNA from 1 species
GACGAACGCUGGCGGCGUGCUUAACACAUGCAAGUCGAACGCUGAAGACCUGGCUUUUGUUGGGUUGGAUGAGUGGCGAACGGGUGAGUAACACGUGAGUAACCUGCCCUCUUCUUUGGGAUAACGCCCGGAAACGGGUGCUAAUACUGGAUAUUCACUGAUCUUCGCAUGGGGGUUGGUGGAAAGGUUUGUUCUGGUGGGGGAUGGGCUCGCGGCCUAUCAGCUUGUUGGUGGGGUGAUGGCCUACCAAGGCUUUGACGGGUAGCCGGCCUGAGAGGGUGACCGGUCACAUUGGGACUGAGAUACGGCCCAGACUCCUACGGGAGGCAGCAGUGGGGAAUAUUGCACAAUGGGCGAAAGCCUGAUGCAGCGACGCCGCGUGAGGGAUGGAGGCCUUCGGGUUGUAAACCUCUUUCGCUCAUGGUCAAGCCGCAACUGUGGGUUGUGGUGAGGGUAGUGGGUAAAGAAGCGCCGGCUAACUACGUA